rnacentral:rRNA from 1 species
GAUGAACGCUAGCUACAGGCUUAACACAUGCAAGUCGAGGGGAAACGCCAUCGCAAGCUUGCUUUUGAUGGGCGUCGACCGGCGCACGGGUGAGUAACGCGUAUCCAACCUGCCCAUCACUUGGGAAUAACCUUGCGAAAGUAAGACUAAUACCCAAUGAUAUCCCACGAAGGCAUCGGAAUGGGAUUAAAGAUUUAUCGGUGAUGGAUGGGGAUGCGUCUGAUUAGCUUGUUGGCGGGGUAACGGCCCACCAAGGCAACGAUCAGUAGGGGUUCUGAGAGGAAGGUCCCCCGCAUUGGAACUGAGACACGGUCCAAACUCCUACGGGAGGCAGCAGUGAGGAAUAUUGGUCAAUGGGCGAGGGCCUGAACCAGCCAAGUAGCGUGCAGGAAGACGGCCCUCUGGGUUGUAAGCUGCUUUUAUAAGGGAAUAAAGUGGGUCACGUGUGACUUUUUGCAUGUACCUUAUGAAUAAGGACCGGCUAAUUCCGUG